AAUGUUCCGUAGAUGAACCUGCGGAAGGAUCAUUA
rnacentral:rRNA from 1 species